UCUGGUGCAUAUGCACCUAUAGGUAUCUAAUAUAUACAAGUCGUUUCUAAUUUCUGUGUAAUUUUUAUUUGGUGGAUUCUAAGGGCCCCAAGGUCGGCCCUCCAGUCUUUAUGGUUUCUCAAACACUGUAAAGUUCUUUAGAGCACCCAACCGGUGUGCUGCUCCAUCCCACUUCUCAUUGAAACUGCUUGGAAAUAAUGACCAAAAAGAACGAAUGCAACAGGGCGUAGAACCUUGGAUACGGAGGCCAUUCUUGGUGAUUCAGAUCCAUCAGUUCUUGUUCAUCUAGUCUCUUCCCUCUGGAUGUCAAGUCUUGAAGAAGAAUGAUUAAGGAUGAAUUGCUCUUUCCCAUUAUUUUUUUCAGAUUAAACUCCAGACGUGGUUCUGCUUCUUUUGUAGUCAAAGCAACACAUUCUUCCCAAAAUAAGGGUGUCUUUUGUUAAAUCUGUUAGGUUUUGGGUAUUUCACUCGAGAGCCUCAACUAAAAACAAGAAGCCAGAGAUUUUCAGAAAUCUACUUGUGGAUCUAUUCAAAUACAGGUUUUGCGGAAAGCCCAUUCACCAUGGCAACAUAUGACUCUGUUGUUGAAUGCAGAAGGCUUUAGUGAUGGAGGAAACGAGCCUGGGCAUUGCAAAAAAGUGACAACCCCCCAUGGACAUGCCUUAGAACCUUUCUACUGCGACCUGUGGAUGGGGAUAUCAGGUUUUGAAUGAAUAGUUCAUUCCAGUUGACUGUUACAGCACUUCUAUGAAAUCCUUCCUCAGAAGCCCUUAUCCAGGAAAACGGCAUAUGUCAGGCCCGAUACUGGGAUUCUUUAUGCCAUGAUACUGAUUCUAUUGGCAUGUUGGUUCAUGGUCACAUUUUAGAGAGAGAAUGCAAGGCCAAGUAUCCAUUAGUGAAAUGUAAAUAUAAUCCAUAUCUCUGUUACUGAGUUGUGUUUAAGUCGAUGGUUUUGGAAAUACGGAUCCAAGAUAUGGAGACGAGAAUGUGUAGUUUUUCUCAUUUGUUGCCCCAAGUUAAGCAUGACCUCCCUUGCCGUUUAAGGUGGCUGGUGGAGAUGAUUGAAUAGGUUGUUGCUUAAUUAAUUUAAAUGGAUGUCACCACAUUAAUGGGAUGUAUUUCAAUUUGGUACAACAUUACAUGGAUUUAU